rnacentral:lncRNA from 1 species
AUCGAGAGCAACAUGCAAUAUUAGAAAUAAUGUGACUAGACUCGUGCAAACUCCCACCCAACUCGAACUUGCUCAAAAGUUAAGAUCAAGUGUUGGUCAGAACUAUAUGCCCUCUGAAAUUUAAUAAUUAGUAGAAGUACAAGCUGAAAUCACUUGAAAUUUCUGGGUCUGACAGGACUAAUGAUGCCAAUGCAAUAAGAGCCUCGUCCAGUUACUGGGAUGGACGGCACAACAACACUUCUUUUCAAGAAGACUUUGAUGAAAUUAAUAACAAUAUUUUAAGAUUUGUAAGUAGCAAAUAUUAGUUAGUGAAAAACAAGUCUUUGAAUUAUAUGCAACUCUUUGUAAUAGGACAAUAAAUGCCGAAAAUAGUUCACGAGUUGCUCUUCUUGAUGAUUCAAGAUUUCCUCGGAAAAGCUCCAAGUGCUAACAGUGAUAACAGCAUAACAAACGACCAAAAAUGCUUUGAUACUUGUAUAUUUUUGAGAAUCCUAGGUUAAGUUUCAAUCUCUUGAAUAAUAGUUCAUCAUAUCAUAAGAAUAUAAGAUUGUUUUCCUCUUUUUCUCAUGCUAAGAGAAAAACACUAAGGAGAUUCUUACAAAAUCCUGAAGUUCAAUUAUUAACAACGAAAACUUUGAUGAUCCCUUUGAGAUGUAGGAAAUGGAGGAAACAGGAGGAAAGAAAAUGGGGAUCUGCAGAAUGCUUUUAGCUCAAGAUAGAAAACUCCCAGGACCAGUUUCUUUUAGGGAUAUAACUAGAGACUUCGUGAGAAAUGAUAUUAGUUUAAAUCGUGAGUCCUAGAAAGAGAGAAAGUCUUAGAGUGUAGCUGGUGUUUCUUCGUGAACUAUUGCUGAGCGGUGACGGUUGCUUGGAAUACUAUGGUUGUGGGCCUGAGGUGAUUUUUAGUGGUUGAGCAAAAGUCUUGACGUGGUAGGAGGGGGUAGUGGAGUUAGGAUCUACGAAAACGGAAAGGGCUUUUAGAAAUCAAUUUUCUUCUAGCAUGGUGAUAUUGAAUGGCUCAUCCAGUGUUUUAGAGAGUUCAAAUGGAAGAAGGAGAGAGCUUGAGGGAGGAGGAAAAGAAGCAGUUGGAGGAAUCUUUGGAUGGCAUUGAGUGGUAACAAAAGAGGGAAGUUUCUGGUACUGUCGGAAGGCAUAGAUGGACCCAAGGGGAGAAUCAACAGGAUUUUCCUUCCGGAGGGGGAGAAAGUUGAGGGGUGUGGUGGCAAAUGAUAGAAGCAAUCCAUGAGGUGGUGGGAGUGAAGUUAAUCCCUCCUGAUUGGGUUACGAAGAAAGGAGGUAAGAGUGCACCGAUGUUGGACAGUAUGAAGGAUUAGGCUAUUUUUAUGUUCAGAUGACCGGGGUGCUGCCUAGAAUUAGGUCUACAAGAGGGGGAAUGAUUCGGAAAUUCGUUCGCUGAGCCUUGCUGAAACCGAUGAUUAAUGCCACUCGGGUAGGGCAGGAGAGUCUGUCGGGUUUGAAUGAGGUGGGUCAGAUCAAUUCAAAUUUUGAAUUUAAAAAGAGAAGGGGGCACGUGAGGGAGUUUGAGCGGGAAUCAUAUGGUGGAAAGGUUGAUCAACCUGGGCGUAGUAGGAGUCGGGGUAGGAAGCGGGU